AAUGUCCAGAGUCUUUAGUAAAAAAUGACACAAAAGGAUCUCAAUGAGUUUUAUGAGGUGUCAAAGGUUGAUCCUGAUCCAGACAAAAUUCCGGAUACUGUGAUCCAGAACACACAAAAAUAAGGGUGUCGUUGGAAUUUUCAAUGCUGAAAGAUAACCAAUGGGCGGCACAGUGGUGUAGAUAGGUGGUACAGUGGUGUAGUGGUUAGCACUGUCGCCUCACAGCAAGAAGGUCCUGGGUUUGAAUCCGGGUCAGGGCAUUUCUUGUUUUAGGAACAUUAUGAACAGUGAACAUACCAGUUUAAACACAAAUAAAAGUUCAUAAAAGACACGUAACAGUAAAAGUUUUGGUGUGAAUCACAAUAUAAGGGGGGACAUGAGCUGCUUGGCGGAGGUCUGCGCUCUCCGAGUGCUUUUCUAGUUUCUUCAUACAAUCAAAAGAGAAAAUAUUAAUCAUGAUUUUCUGUAAUUAGGAG